UACGGGGGGAGCAAGCGUUGUUCGGAUUUACUGGGCGUAAAGGGCGCGUAGGCGGCCACCGCAAGUCGACUGUGAAAAUCUCCGGGCUUAACCCGGAAAGGUCAGCCGAUACUGCGGGGCUAGAGUGCAGAAGGGGCAACUGGAAUUCUCGGUGUAGCGGUGAAAUGCGUAGAUAUCGAGAGGAACACCUGCGGCGAAGGCGGGUUGCUAGGCUGACACUGACGCUGAGUGCGCGAAAGCCAGGGGAGCAAACGGG
rnacentral:rRNA from 1 species